CCUACGGGAGGCAGCAGUGAGGAAUAUUGGUCAAUGGGCGUAAGCCUGAACCAGCCAAGUCGCGUGAGGGAUGAAGGUUCUAUGGAUCGUAAACCUCUUUUAUAAGGGAGCAAAGUCACCCACGUGUGGGUGUUGGAGAGUACCUGAAGAAAAAGCAUCGGCUAACUCCGUGCCAGCAGCCGCGGUAAUACGGAGGAUGCGGGCGUUAUCCGGAUUUAUUGGGUUUAAAGGGUGCGUAGGCGGGUUAUCAAGUCAGCGGUAAAAUCGUGGAGCUCAACUCCAUCCAGCCGUUGAAACUGAUGAUCUUGAGUGGGCGAGAAGUAUGCGGAAUGCGUGGUGUAGCGGUGAAAUGCAUAGAUAUCACGCAGAACUCCGAUUGCGAAGGCAGCUUACUAAGCCAUAACUGACACUGAAGCACGAAAGCGUGGGGAUCAAACAGGAUUAGAUACCCUAGUAGUC
rnacentral:rRNA from 1 species